rnacentral:rRNA from 1 species
CCUACGGGGUGCUGCAGUGGGGAAUAUUGGACAAUGGGCGAAAGCCUGAUCCAGCCAUGCCGCGUGUGUGAAGAAGGCCUUCGGGUUGUAAAGCACUUUCAGUGGGGAAGAAAGCCUUGGGGCUAAUACCCUCGAGGAAGGACAUCACCCACAGAAGAAGCACCGGCUAACUCCGUGCCAGCAGCCGCGGUAAUACGGAGGGGUGCGAGCGUUAAUCGGAAUUACUGGGCGUAAAGCGCGCGUAGGCGGUCUGAUAAGCCGGUUGUGAAAGCCCCGGGCUCAACCUGGGAACGGCAUCCGGAACUGUCAGGCUAGAGUGCAGGAGAGGAAGGUAGAAUUCCCGGUGUAGCGGUGAAAUGCGUAGAGAUCGGGAGGAAUACCAGUGGCGAAGGCGGCCUUCUGGACUGACACUGACGCUGAGGUGCGAAAGCGUGGGUAGCAAACAGGAUUAGAUACCCCGGUAGUC